GCCAGGUUCUGAACGACAGUUAAGGGAGUGGCAGUUGGGACACAGGGAUUGUAACUAAUGAAUUAACUACAAUUUGGUCAAAAGAAAUCCUCUCUCUUCUCAUCAGCCUCAUAUCCUACACUGUGUGACUAAACCAAGUAGGACUCACUGCAGAUACCACCCGUUUAACAGGUAGGGCACAGAUACACAUGAUCUUCGAAUCCUCUGCUGGCCUCUAAUCAUCAGGCAGCAGAAUGUGACCAUCCCUUUCGAUGCUAGCCUGGGAUGUAUUUUAUACAUCUGCUCUCCCCCUUUUUGCCAAGAGUUUUAAUUAGUGAACUAUGGCAGACAUUAAAUCAUGCUAACUGUAAGUCUUACAUACUGACACUAAGAACAACCAAGGGAGUUUCCCGUUAGUGUAAGAUUUUAAGGCCUCCAGAGGCCUUUACUUCUGCUUUCACAACUUAUGUACACGCAGGACCAUCCUAAUUCUCUCAUCUAUCUCAUAUGUACUAACUUUUCUGUGUGAUCCAGUUCAACCCUUCCCUUGGCUCCAGACUGAGCAUCUCUCAUUGUGUGCUAUUGUUUGAAUAUAUUUCCCUAAUUCUUAUGCUUAAACUUAAUUGCUGGUAUAGUAGAAAGUAUUCUGCAAGGGCAGGAUGCGAUCAAUAAUCCUAUAUAGUUGUGAUGCCUAAGAACCAGAACAAUGACCAGCAUGCUAAGGUGCAAGAGCAGCCCUCACAUUUGGGUAGUGUGAUUGGACUUAAGACACUCCACAGGAGGGAAAUUAGGCUUAGUAUUAGAAACCUAGUCAACCACCCAGGUGGGGUGAGGUCUUAAAAGAGAUCCUACUACUGCCUAUUUUCUAGUCCAGCAAGACUCCUAACUAAAUUCUAAAACAUCCUUACACACACAAGUGUAGCCAUCUUCUCCCAUUCAAGAAAGCUCCCCUGUUAUUAGACGCGUUCUCACGCCCGGCCAGGAAAGACGCAACAGACCAGAAUCUUCUGCGGCAAAACUUUAUUGCUUACAUCUUCAGGAGCAAGAGUGUAAGAAGCAAGAGAGCGAGAAAACGAAACCCCGUCCCUAUUAAGGAGAAUUAUCCUUCGCCUAGGACGUGUCACUCCCUGAUUGGCUGCAGCCCAUCGGCCGAGUUGACGUCACGGGGAAGGCAGAGCACAUGGAGUGGAGAACCACCCUCGGCACAUGCGCAGAUUAUUUGUUUACCACUUAGAACACAGCUGUCAGCGCCAUCUUGUAACGGCGAAUGUGGGCGCGGCUCCCAACACUCCCCUUCACAGAAAAUGGAGAGUAUUACAGGAAACCACGGCUAGACAUAUUGCAGAAAUCCACGACUGUAGGGGGGGUCAGUCCCCACAGGAUGCAUCUAAAACACAAAACUGCACAAAAGGCUCAGGAAAAAUCAUGGGAGAGGAGGCAGAAAAAUUGUAGGAACCAGAAGGGCGGAAAGUUUAAUGUAUAAAUGUGACUGUGUUUCCUAGAAAUGUCUAUAUAAACUAAGCCUAAAC